AUUUUUUGUGCCUGUAGCGUACUGGAGAUGGCAACACAAGUACGUGCAGCCGAAACGCAGCGGGAUUGCCCCGUUCUUGCAAGUCGUUACGGCUUCGAUGGUCUUCUUCUAUGUGAUUAAUUCACAAAAAUUGAGUACGUAUUGCGU
rfam:Tribolium castaneum strain Georgia GA2 linkage group LG8, whole genome shotgun sequence.